ACAAAAAUAUAAAUCUGGAUAUUACUACUGAUAUGCAGAACGAAUAGUCAUGUGCAUACUUAUACGUGCAAAUACGAACAGUGUGACACAACCUUCAUGUAGUGACACGUACAUAGUCCACUGUAACUCCAUAAUUCUACAAUUCUACAAUUUCAUUUAGCAGAUGAUUUUGUCCAAAGAGACGUACAACAUAAACAAGAAUUCAAACGUAAGGAAAAACCUAUAAAAAGUGCAAAAGUGCUUCUAGUGCAUAAAUCACCUCUGCACAGGCGUUGCGAAACGACAGUAGAUUUGUUUUUAACACUUAAUCAGGGGAGAGCGCGAACGCAGUCCCCCACUACCAGAAAUUAUGCAGUCGAGAUUCCCACAUUUGGGGAAUUCGCAAAGGUCAAUACAACCUAGAGUGCAAUGGUUGUACCUCGCCUUGGGUGAACCACCUUCUUGAUCAUGGUAUCUCCCCUGCCAGCAUACUGGACAAGCACGGAGCAGAGGUCAGAGAUCCGCAGAGAAAGGGAGAAAUUGGAAACAGAUGGAUCAAAGACUACUUGGCUGAGUAUGCUGAAAGUUUCCCCCAGGUCUCCACGAUCCUCGAGGCCAACAUUGACCAGCGCAUCUAUGGCCAAAAAGGGUUUGACACUCACACCUUUCAGGAGAUGUGGGAACUCUACAGCCAGUACACCACCAAGAAGAACAGGCCAGAGCAGUUCAUCUGUGAACAGAGAGAGAGGAUAGUGAAGGCAUCCAAUUCUGUGAGGAGGUGGUUGAACACACCUUUGACCCAUAUCACAAGCGUGCAGAUGAAAAGAUUCCGGAAAUAUAUUAAUGACAAGGAGCAACAAUGUCUGGCAAGGACCUCCAAAUCCGAUCUUCCACCAUGGUCAGGUGACGAUGUGGAAUUAAUAGCUGCAUGCCAGUCUGUGAAAGGUAAGCAGGAGACAGAGUAAAGGAUCAUCACACAAUCAUUUUUAGAAAGGAAACUACUAACAAUAUAAAACUGCCUUGUUUGGGAACUCGAUAUGCAGAACGAAUAGUCGUGUGCAUACUUACACGUGCAAAUGCGAACUGCGUGAUACAACCUUCAUGUAGUGACACUUACAUACUUC